rnacentral:misc_RNA from 1 species
AAAAGGUAUAUUAAAUAAUAUACUUGUAGUUAAUAAUUAUAUAUGUAUGCAAUUGAUUUCAUUAUAGCUAAUUAAGCUAUGCAAGGAUAAAUUGUAAGUUGUCUAAAAACACAUUUGAUUUCCCUUAUUUGUAUGCUAAUAAUUACAAAUUAAUAAAUUUUGUUGAGAACAGUAAAUUUGGAGGAAAAAUAAUUUUUCUUCUUA